rnacentral:rRNA from 1 species
GAUGAACGCUAGCGGCAAGCCUAACACAUGCAGGUCGAACGGUAACUUUUGGUGCUUGCACCGAAAGACGAGUGGCGAACGGGUGCGUAACGCGUAUGCAAUCUACCUUUUACUAGGGUAUAGCCCGAAGAAAUUUGGAUUAAUCCCCUAUAAUAUCAUGAAUUCGCAUGAUUUUAUGAUUAAAGCUUCGGCGGUAAAAGAUGAGCAUGCGUCCUAUUAGUUAGUAGGUGAGGUAACGGCUCACCUAGACUACGAUAGGUAGGGGUCCUGAGAGGGAGAUCCCCCACACUGGUACUGAGACACGGACCAGACUCCUACGGGAGGCAGCAGUGAGGAAUAUUGGACAAUGGACGAAAGUCUGAUCCAGCUAUGCCGCGUGCAGGAUGACGGCCCUAUGGGUUGUAAACUGCUUUUAUACAGGAAGAAAAAAUCCGACGUGUCGGAUCUUGACGGUACUGUAAGAAUAAGGAUCGGCUAACUCCGUG